GUGACCCUACGGGGCGCAGCAGUGAGGAAUAUUGGUCAAUGGACGAGAGUCUGAACCAGCCACGCAGCGUGAAGGAUGACUGCCCUAUGGGUUGUAACCUUCUUUUAUAUGGGAAUAAAAUGUUCCACGUGUGGGAUUUUGUAUGUACCAUAUGAAUAAGGAUCGGCUAACUCCGUGCCAGCAGCCGCGGUAAUACGGAGGAUCCGAGCGUUAUCCGGAGUUAUUGGGUUUAAAGGGAGCGUAGGUGGAUUGUUAAGUCAGUUGUGAUAGUUU
rnacentral:rRNA from 1 species